GACGGUAAGUUGCGCUCUCUGAAUUAGCUUUCAGCUAACUCAUUAGCAGGCUAGUUGUAAGCCUAAAAGAGAAGUAUUUAUGUUAAGUUUUGUUUUGUUUUAUUUCUGUACAGAUUUAUGAAUGUUAAGAAGGCUGAUUGGAGACUCACUAUGAUUGUUUUCACCAGGUACUGUGUAUUAUUUUGUCGUGUGUUAAUGUGUUAGUCAGUCUGUUGUCUUCCACGUGACGAUUUAUGAAUGUCAAGAAGGCUGAUUGGAGACUCACUAUGAUUGUUUUCACCAGAAUAAACCAUGUUUGAGUCGGAAGAAUGACUGGGUGUCGUCUUUUGGGGAAAAACACAACGCAAAGGAGUACUACAUCGCUACACAUGCUUCACUGAUGAGAGUAUUUGGGUCAGUUGAGAAUGAAAAGGCAGGGGGAGAAGAUUUAUGACCUCUUUUUAAAAAGAAGCAAGUCAGGGUCAGGAAAAGAUGAGGCAGACAAACAGCCAGGAUUUAGGUCUGCCAGCAGUCCUUGGACGAGUCAGGAGGAGAGAAAAUGUGAUGCACACAGCCCAUCAUCACCAGUUCCAUUAAACACAGAAGAAAAAGAUGGCAGCUCCCUUCCUGGAACUAGUUGGGAGAGAGAACUCACAACACAGCACAGCCCAUCUUCACCAGCUCUUGCCGCUGGAGCUUGCGCCGUCCAUGCAGCUGCCGUCGACUUCCCUGAGAGACUGGCCUCAAGACACCCGUGGACACACCC